CUUGGAGGUGGUGUAGCAUCCGAAAAAAUUCUCCUGAACUGAGUGAAAGUAGAAAUUCUGAGUUUACCUCUCUACCUCUAGGAAAGAAUAGGGGACUCGGAAGUUUUGAAGUGGAAUCCCGGCUUAUCAACGCCGCUAUCUCAGGCAACUUCCCUGAGCCUCAGUGUCACCUAAAGUUGGGAACAGUAAUGCCUAUCUCACCAGUGUGUUGGGAGAGUUAAAGAUAUGGUCAAUGGAAAGCCUGACAUACUUGGCUCUGUCUGGAUUGAAAUGUGGGGCCCAGGAGGAAAUGGAAAUGGAUCUGCUAAGCACCGCUUGGAGAAACAGACGACUCUGCUGAGACCCCACCUGGAAGGCUGUGCUCAGCUCUGAGCACCUAAUUACCAGCCAGGUACAGACAAAUGGGUAUAUCUGAUGACACACAUAGCCAAGGUUAAUGGAGAAGGGCUCGUCUAAUGUACCAGAGAGCUGUUGCUGACUGCACCUGUGGACACCCGCUCUCACAGGGGCCAGACCAAACCCAGGAGCUCUGGAUUUAAAUCUGGCUCUUGCUAUGUAAGUUUUCCUCAAGUUGUAAUUUUGUGCCUCAGUUCCUCUCUGUGGGCAGCUCCACACCACACACCAGCUUUGUUUUGUAUCCGGGUCCUCGAAUGCUUUGUUCCUCUUCAGGGAUGCUGUGUGAUUUGGGGGAAGUCAGACUGGCCUGAGAGUGUGUUUCUGCAUUUUCUGCCUGGGGUGAAUCUACUGAGCAGUUAUUCCCUCCUGCUUUGGAAGGACAGGUUUCUAUCGUCUAGGAAUCUGGAACUGAGAAGCAGAGAAGAAUCAGUCUCAGCUGAUUGCAGCAGCAUUGAAGACAAAUCCCCCUGGAGCUGUGGAAAUGAGUCUCCUGCCAGAGAGGAGGAUGUGAAGAGAGCAUGACAAGGAACCCACGUGGAGAGAGACGCAGACUCAGAGAUGGAGACAGGGAGGCGAACAAACACAGGGGGCAGAGCCCCAGAUGGGGGCAGAUGCACCACCUCCCACUCUGGGUUUUUUCCUUAUGAGGUCUCAGAAUCCUCACACAGAUCCUCUUUUGGCUUGGGCUAUGCUGAGGGCAUUUCCAUUACCUGAAACUAACAUGGCCUGGCUGGAGAUGGAGACAGAGCAAUUGGGAAAAAAGCCCUCCAGCAAUGUGAGCAGAGAAUACACAUCUUGAAUAAAUGUUCGCAAUUGACCCAGUGACAAAUUUCAAGAACUGGGCCACAAGCUCUCCUGUAACCGUUCACUGGCCUGUUACCUGACGUCGGCUUUGGAAGGCGCUUCCUUAGUCUUCAAUUUCUUGAACCGUCUUCACGUUGGAGUGCGGCUGUGUAGGGGUCCUUAAACUUUUUAAACAGGGGGCCAGUUCACUGUCCCUCAGAUCGUUUGAGGGCCGUUAGAGAGCUUUUAGAGAGUGUGGCGCACAUUCCACACAUGCGCACUGUGGGCCCGAGAUGAGUUGGCUGCUAAGCAGGACAGGCGGCGGCGGAGGCAAAAACACCCCUUGGGCUGGAUAAAUAUCUUUGGCAGGCCGCAUGUGGCCCGCAGGCCGUAGUUUGAGGACUCCUGGGCUAGAGGAAGGGCAAGGCUCUGACCGCCCAGACACCUGUCAUGAGGAAUUAGAUACAAGCCCUGGAGCCCGUUUUCUCUCUUUGCAGCUGCAGUACAUGGCUGGGCUGUCCAGGGCAACGAUGGAUUUCAGGUUUCUUCCUCUGAAGGACAGGGCCCGGCUAAAGCAGCACAUCCUUCCUGGAAAUGAUGCGUUUUUAGGUUUCCCACUUAAGGUUAAACAGAAACCAGCCUUGGGACAACAAAGAAAGGAAAGCUCCCCCCUCCUUGACUUCAACCAACCAUCUAAUGCUGCAACCAGACUCCUUUCCUCUUUUGCUGUUUGGACAUGAGAACUGACCAGCUUCACAGUGCAUUCCUUCCUGAUAAAUGACCACUGACAAUGGACUGGUUCUGGCCAGCUUAUGGAGGCUCUAGAUGAAGCUCCUUCAUGUGCUCUGCUUCACUUUUUGAUGUACAGAGCCUAAUUUUACUGCACUUUAAUGUUAAGUCCCCACCCCAAAGUGAACAUAGAACCUCUGUAACAAGUAUGUUUGCGUAUCAUGAAUGUGAAUGACCCACAAUGAAUAUUUAUGAUCCUCUUGUAAUCUGUUGUAAACUAUUAAAUAUGUAUAUUUAGCCAACCCACUUAGCAUAAAACUCUUAUCCCACUCUUGCCCGGGCAAACUGCCUGCUUUUGGUCUCAGUGGCAGAUUCUACUUUCCAGUCUGCAAGUCGCAACCAAUGAUAAGAAAUAAAGUUCUCCUUUCCAAA